UGGGGAAUAUUGCACAAUGGGCGCAAGCCUGAUGCAGCCAUGCCGCGUGUGUGAAGAAGGCCUUCGGGUUGUAAAGCACUUUCAGCGAGGAGGAAGGGUGGUGUGUUAAUAGCACAUCACAUUGACGUUACUCGCAGAAGAAGCACCGGCUAACUCCGUGCCAGCAGCCGCGGUAAUACGGAGGGUGCAAGCGUUAAUCGUAAUUACUGGGCGUAAAGCGCACGCAGGCGGUUUGUUAAGUCAGAUGUGAAAUCCCCGCGCUUAACGUGGGAACUGCAUUUGAAACUGGCAAGCUAGAGUCUUGUAGAGGGGGGUAGAAUUCCAGGUGUAGCGGUGAAAUGCGUAGAGAUCUGGAGGAAUACCGGUGGCGAAGGCGGCCCCCUGGACAAAGACUGACGCUCAGGUGCGAAAGCGUGGGGAGCAAACA
rnacentral:rRNA from 1 species